AUUAAAAGUUUAAAUUGUUGUGCGAGAGAGAGCAGUCAAACCGUCUACACACACCUGUGCGUUUGUUCAACAUUAAACGAACACAUGUUCAAGGAUCUGAAAGGUGCGUGUUUUUGCUACUACUUUGCUCGCUCGAUUUAAUGAACGGCUCGUUAUUCACCUUAUCGCGAUAUCAUAGCGCGCGAUUUCAAAAAACGACGUGCGCGCCUCGUGCUCCAUUUGUCUUUACCACCUCCCUGAGGCGGUCAGCUGAUUAAAGCGGCUGAUAAUGUGGCUCGGAAUAGCUAACUAUAGCUUUAUCAUUCAUCUUUAUAUACAGCGAUAAAAUGGAGACAUCAGCUCCACCUGGGCUAGAAAUCUCCACCUAGCCAGUGAUGCUAUAGGCAGAGGGAAUUUCCUGCAGGACAUGAGGCCACCUGCUGUUCCCAAAAGAGCAAACAGCACCAAGUCUGUCUGUCCGUCUACUUGUCUGUCUAUUUAAAAAACAUCACUUGUGUGGUUGGGUGUGCAUUAUAUAUUAUCCGAGACUAAAAGGUUUAAUAACUAAUGUUAAUAACUAAUGUUGAUUGUAUUUCCAGUGUUGAACAAGAUCUUUAUGCAUAUUAUAAAAACCUAUUUAUUAAUUAAGUAAGAACAGCAUGUGGAGGUGUAAAUAUGAAACCAGAAUACUUUUUAUAUUUGUCCUAAAACUGUUUGUUAUUAAACUAAUGUACACAAACUAUAGCUGUGCUGUGAAAACAUCCUUUUAUUCAGUAAAUAUGAAAAAUAUAUUGAGGUAAUUUGUUAAAUUAAAGGUAAUCAUUAUAAUUACUUUAGGCAGUUAAAUUCACAAUUAUUUUUGCAACUCCUCCCAAAACAAAGAAGGAAGAUACACAAUCAGAAAUGAAUACCGUCAUUUAAUAGAAUUCUACUACAAUUUAGCGUUAGUACUUUUUUCAAAAAUAUACACAAAAGUAUGUCUAGCUGCUGAUGUGUAAUAACCAGUGUUUUCCAGAUUAGUCAAGAACAGUCCACAUGAUUUAAGUAUUUGAAAGAUAUUUGACAUGACCGAUUAGAUAAUGUUUUAUCUACCUACAGCACCAUCAAAAUAAAGCUCCAAAAUUAUUAGACAAAUACAGUUUUAAAAAUAAAAAAUACACAAAAGUUUGAAUAUUUAAGAAAUAAAAUGUCUUGAAAAUCCUUAAUUGAAAAAGAGUUUCCACUUAUUGGGAAGUUAAACUCCCAUAUCCUUUGCUAUUCUGUGUAUCUUUAAAAAAAAAUCCCUUUGUAUUUUUUCUUUUCUUUUUUUAACUAACUGCUAAAGCUGUGUUUGCUAAACAGUGCAAAGCGGAGACAAACAAACCAGUGGCAGGAACAACCCGAGGCAUGAUGUAAACAGUAUAAAGGCUUGAUGUGAAGACCGAAAACAGAGUCAAUACUUGG